CCUACGGGCGGCUGCAGUGAGGAAUAUUGGUCAAUGGACGCAAGUCUGAACCAGCCAUGCCGCGUGAAGGAUGACGGCCUUCUGGGUUGUAAACUUCUUUUAUCGGGGAAGAAAAUUACGGUUUCUACUGUAACCGACGGUACCCGAUGAAUAAGCACCGGCUAACUCCGUGCCAGCAGCCGCGGUAAUACGGAGGGUGCAAGCGUUAUCCGGAUUCACUGGGUUUAAAGGGUGUGUAGGCGGGCUGUUAAGUCAGUGGUGAAAUCUCCGGGCUC
rnacentral:rRNA from 1 species